GCCGAUCUGUCGACGGUUCGGGAAGGCGCGGCGGCUUCGGCCCGGCGCGGUGGUGUGCGGAUUCGCCAUGACGGGCAC
rnacentral:tRNA from 2 species